ensembl:snRNA U6 U6 spliceosomal RNA
UUACUUAGGCAAUACAUUUACUAAUAUUGGAAUGACAUAGAGAAGAUUAGCAUAGCCCCUGUGCAA